ACUGCGUUCCAGUGCUCGGACCUGCUCCUUCCAAGAAGACAGGACGCCAGGAUGGCCGGGACUCCGCUCCCUGGGACACCAUAAUUUUUGUGAGCAGCAGACCUGAAGUGGUACAAGCCAUCGUGAAGGUACAGAGACAACAGAGGUAACUGAAAUACAAUCCUUGUUCUUGAGGGGCCAAUCUAGUGGGGAAAUACAUUUGUAAGGAGAGAUACUCCAAUGAAAUACGAUGCCUUCAGAGGAGAAUGCACAACCUGCCAUGAGAAACCAGAGGAGCAAGCAGCUGAUAUUCUAAUAAAAUUAAAGCUGGAGACAUUUUAAAA